rnacentral:ncRNA from 1 species
CUCCAGAGGUUUAUAACAAUUUUUAUUUAAUAAAAAGUUUUAUAUUGGCUUGAAGUUUAAUUAAUUCUUUUAUUAAAAUGUAAGUUUUGAUUUUUAAAUAAUUUAAUUAGCAAUUUUUAAUAUUAAAUAUGAAAUAAGUUUUGAAUUAGAAUUAGAAUAUAAAUAUUAACAAAAUUUGUGCCAGCAGUUGCGGUUAUACAAUUAAUAUUUUUAAACAUUUUGGAUUAAAGUAAAAUUAAUAUUUAUUUAAAAUUUUUAUAAUAAAGUGAAAUUUAUAUAAAAUAAUAAUAGUUAUAGUAAUUGAAGCUUUGAAAAUUUUAUUUUAAACUAGGAUUAGAUACCCUACUAUUAGAAUUGUAAAUUUAUAUCCUUAUUAUUAUAAGUUAAAUUCUUUAAAUUAAAAAUUUCUGGCGGUAUUUUAGUCUUUUCAGAGGAACCUGUUAUAUAAAUGAUAAUCCACGAUUUAACCAACUUAUUUCAUUAGUUUGCAUAUCGUCGUAAAUAAAAAUUUUAUAAGAAAUAAUUUUUAAAAUAAAUUAUAUUAUAAAUCAGAUCAAGAUACAGCUUAUAAAUAAGAAUAAAUGGGUUACAAUAAUUUUAAUUACACGAAUAUCUUUUUUUAAAUUAGAUUUAAGGUGGAUUUGAAAGUAAAUAUUUUAAAAUUAAAAUUUUGAUUAAGCUCUAAAAUAUGUACAUAUCGCCCGUCGCUUUCAUUAAUAUGAAAUAAGUCGUAACAAAGUAGCCUUACUGGAAAGUGUGUCUAGAUAGU